rnacentral:rRNA from 1 species
AGAGUUUGAUCCUGGCUCAGGAUGAACGCUGGCGGCGUGCUUAACACAUGCAAGUCGAACGGGGCGGCGGGGAGGAAUCCCUUCGGGGAGGAGACCCCGCGGCCUAGUGGCGGACGGGUGAGUAACGCGUGGGCAACCUGCCCCAUACCGGGGGAUAACAGCCGGAAACGGCUGCUAACACCGCAUAAGCGCUGGGGGCCGCAUGGCUCCCAGCGGAAAACUCCGGUGGUAUGGGAUGGGCCCGCGUCUGAUUAGGCAGUUGGCGGGGCAGCGGCCCACCAAACCGACGAUCAGUAGCCGGCCUGAGAGGGCGGCCGGCCACAUUGGGACUGAGACACGGCCCAGACUCCUGCGGGAGGCAGCAGUGGGGAAUAUUGCACAAUGGGGGGAACCCUGAUGCAGCGACGCCGCGUGGGCGAGGAAGUAUUUCGGUAUGUAAAGCCCUAUCGGCAGGGAAGAAGAAAUGACGGUACCUGAAUAAGAAGCACCGGCUAAAUACGUG